UACGGAGGGUGCGAGCGUUGUCCGGAAUCACUGGGCGUAAAGGGCGCGUAGGCGGCCGUGUAAGUCACUUGUGAAAUCCCGGGGCUCAACUCCGGGGCUGCAGGUGAGACUGCGUGGCUAGAGCACGGUAGAGGCGAGUGGAAUUCCCGGUGUAGCGGUGGAAUGCGUAGAGAUCGGGAAGAAUACCAGUGGCGAAGGCGUUCUGCUGGGCCGUGCUGACACUGAGGCGCGACGAGCGUGGGGAGCAAACAGG
rnacentral:rRNA from 1 species